GUGGGUGUAGCUCAGUGGUAGAGCUUGCCUAGCACACUGGAUGCUCUGGGUUCAAUUCCCAGUACCACG
rnacentral:tRNA from 1 species